UACGUAGGGGGCAAGCGUUGUCCGGAAUCAUUGGGCGUAAAGCGCGUGUAGGCGGCCAGGUAAGUCCGUUCUGAAAGCCCGGGGCUCAACCCCGGGAGGCGGAUGGAUACUGCUUGGCUCGAGUCCGGAAGAGGUGAGUGGAAUUCCCGGUGUAGCGGUGAAAUGCGCAGAUAUCGGGAGGAACAUCAGUGGCGAAGGCGGCCAUCUGGAUCAACACUGACGCUGAGGCACGAAAGCGUGGGGAG
rnacentral:rRNA from 1 species